GACGAACGCUGGCGGCGUGCCUAAUACAUGCAAGUAGAACGCUGAAGAGAGGAGCUUACUCUUCUUGGAUGAGUUGCGAACGGGUGAGUAACGCGUAGGUAACCUGCCUUGUAGCGGGGGAUAACUAUUGGAAACGAUAGCUAAUACCGCAUAACAAUGGAUGACACAUGUCCUUUAUUUGAAAGGGGCAAUUGCUCCACUACAAGAUGGACCUGCGUUGUAUUAGCUAGUAGGUGAGGUAAUGGCUCACCUAGGCGACGAUACAUAGCCGACCUGAGAGGGUGAUCGGCCACACUGGGACUGAGACACGGCCCAGACUCCUACGGGAGGCAGCAGUAGGGAAUCUUCGGCAAUGGGGGCAACCCUGACCGAGCAACGCCGCGUGAGUGAAGAAGGGUUUCGGAUCGUAAAGCUCUGUUGUAAGUCAAGAACGGGUGUGAGAGUGGAAAGUUCACACUGUGACGGUAGCUUACCAGAAAGGGACGGCUAACUACGUG
rnacentral:rRNA from 1 species